rnacentral:ncRNA from 1 species
GGAUAGAGGCGCAGGUAUCAUCAGUAGUGCGGGUGGAAAAGGCCAUGCAGGGCCGUUGCCCGGGACGAAAGGGAUCCCUGCCGAAGGUCGGGCGGUUGCGUGCCGGGCCUGGGCAACUGGAGAAUAUCCAGCUGACUGUCGCGUUUGCGGAGAGCUAUCG